rnacentral:rRNA from 1 species
CAGUUAAAAAGCUCGUAGUUGGAUUUCGGAGUGGGCCAGUUGGUCCGCCGCAAGGUGUGUUACUGACUGGUUUGCUCUUCUUCGCAAAGACUGCGUGUGCUCUUUAUUGAGUGUGCGUAGGAUUUACGACGUUUACUUUGAAAAAAUUAGAGUGUUCAAAGCAGGCUAUUGCUUGAAUACAUGAGCAUGGAAUAAUGGAAUAGGAUUUUGGUCCCAUUUUGUUGGUUUCUAGGACCGAAGUAAUGAUUAAGAGGGACAAUUGGGGGCAUCCGUAUUUCGUUGUCAGAGGUGAAAUUCUUGGAUUUACGAAAGACGAACAACUGCGAAAGCACUUGCCAAGAGUGUUUUCAUUAAUCAAGAACGAAAGUUAGAGGAUCGAAGACGAUCAGAUACCGUCCUAGUUCUAACCAUAAACGAUGUCGACUAGGGAUCAGCGGGCGUUAUCGUACGACCCCGUUGGCACCUUACGGGAAACCAAAGUUUCUGGAUUCCGGGGGAAGUAUAGUCGCAAGUCCGAAACUUAAAGGAAUUGACGGAAGGGCACCACCAGGAGUGGAGCCUGUGGCUCAAUUUGACUCAACACGGGGAAACUUACCAGGUCCAGACAUAGUAAGGAUUGACAGGUUGAGAGCCCUUUCUUGAUUCUAUGGGGUGGUGGUGC